CAAAGAAACACGGAAGCGGCGGUGCGCGCGCAGCUUUUGUCGACACACUCAUGACGUUUAUUACCUCUUCACCGGGCCGACGAAAUUGCGCCUGCGGUUUGUUAUACCACAUGCUCACUACCUCAAAUUUUUUUUGUGAUCCAACGAAAAUACUUACUUUAAUGACUAAGCGCCGGCGGAACUUGACCGUAUUGAAAUUGUCGAAAUAAAUGAUGAUGUAAAUGUUUUGUUACGUUCGCGGUAGUAGGCCCUUAUACGCUAGUUACUGCGUCUGUAUAGCCGACUGAUGAAGGAAACAAAAUAUUCAUGAAACAAAAUUAUACAUAUAUAUAUAACAGCUCCUGUCAGUGACUGUCAUUAAAUGUGCCAUUCUCGCUAGCCGCAGGUGAUGGCUCCGAAAGAAUUGGAACUAUGGAACCACGCAAAGUGGCGAUGCUGUGUCCCACUAUGUUCAGCACUCCCAGCAAAACAUACCAGACGCUUCGACAGCUCAAAUCAGUAGACGAACGGGAUUACACACCACGCAUCGAACGUGCGAUAACUACUUCUUCACUGGCUGCUCGUAUAUCACACACGCGUGACAUCAAUCCAAGUAAAAGGGUGGGGGGUAUUCGGGUGUUUCGGUUGCUUUGUCAUUUUCUGCGACGGACUAAGCAUGUCACGACACUUGAGCAACUUGAACCUAAGAGCAAAACUUCCCACAGGCUAUCACCACAAGCUGCUGGCUGAAUGUCGGAACUUGCGGUACCUUGAGGAGCUCACCUUGCGCAGGCUAUACGAAGACGACGAGACCGGAAACAUAACUGGCCUGGCUGCUGUGGUCGCAUGCGACGCAAACCUCCAGAUACUCCGAGUCGAACAGCUUAUUGCCGUGUCCCUAGACGCGUCUCCCCUAUUAGAAACAUUGACGGCGAUUGCCACUAUAGGCCACCUCUCCCUGGAUUCUCGUUGCGUGGGACCGUCGGACGUAACCCUGUUCUCGGGGUUCUGUAGCGGAAACAACGUACUCACCUGGCUGCGCCUGGUGGGUUCGGACGAGGGACAGACCUUGACCGUGGGCGAGAUCGCAAAAGCAGUGCGGAAUGCUGCGGCGCUUGAACACUUGGAGCUGGUCCGCUUUCGUAUACACACGCACGAUGCGUGGACUUCGGCAACGUCACUCGCCAUUAUGCAAACAGUGCGGCAACUGGGGCUCAUUUCCUGCAAACCAAUUUUUACUUUCAGGUCGCGUGCAGUCUCCCAAUCGGAGGAAGCAGCUGAUCGCUCGCAGGGAUUCCUGCCAUGCUGGCGCAUUUAGCCUUAUGUGCACAUACUGCAAGAAGUGAACUCUCUGCGAAGGCUUAUAUAUGUAUACGCUCAACCUGCUGUAUUUCACCAGAGACGACCACCGUGCCUUUUUCUAGGCGCUCGCUGCAAACGAGUCCCUUAAACAGGUGCUCGUGACAAAGCCACAUCAGCGCUACGUCGGGGAGUUAUUCCAGAUCGCCCUCGAAACAGGCACAGCCAACCGAAUCACCAUGGGCACUAUUUGCACGCACGAGAAGGAUUUCGGCGAGAUAUCAUCAAAGUGUCAUGCCGAACAGAUCGCCCUGCGAACCAAAGGUGGGGUCCUCAGCGAGGAAGCACCGAUAGCGGCCCGAUGCUACCGACAUUUGAGAACACUUGAUCACUUAACGAAUUUAACGACAGAGAUACGAGGCAGCAUUGACCAUAUUUCAGCCGAACUCCUGGCACUGUACCUUCGAAGCACGAUGUUGCUAAAGGCAGUCAGUUUGACGUUCACGGCGGACGGGACAUCAACUAUGUUGCUCCUCGAUGGACUCAACCAAAAUACCAGCAUCAUGAGCCUCGCUGUAGAGAGCUGGUGCGAGAGCAGACGUGGCGCAAUAGCUCUUGCGGACAUUGUCCGAACAAGCUCGAUAAUCCACACGCUCGUCUACAAUCUGAAAAGCGUGACUCCCGCGAAGACGUUCUUUUCUAGAUUCUGCAAGUCGCUCGAGAAGAACUUCACUAUCUUGACGGUGAACACUACCCGCAUGUUCGUUACGGUCAAGAAGUGGGCGUUCGUCAAAAAAAUUCUGAUACGCAACGCCCCCUUCCUGGAACGGGCGGCGCAAUUUGUCGCUGAUCACUGGUUUGAUAAGAGCGGUGCCGAGGCACAUGAAUUGGUGGUUUCCCACCCCCUUCUGCCGUCGUGAGUACAGCAUCUGAUGGCCGUCGACGAGUUGGAAGCAGCCAGGGAGAUACGGAAAGCGAUUGUCGACCUGCAAAAUCUAGACACCUUCAUGAGAGCCACCGGUGUGGUCUGGUACGGUGUCAUUUGCGAAGAGAGCACCGACGGUUAUUCUCAUUGCCUUGACACAUUGACAGCGGAUUGCUGGCUUGCCAUUCGUCGGUACUUAGGCGUGACGCACGUGCUGGAUCCAGAGCCUCGCACGUGCCUGGGAUCUUAAACUGCAGCUCAGGGCGUGAACACACCGGUGAUGACAAUGUUCUUGCUGCUCGCCGGGAUACUGUGGACAAGCCGGACGUCUCCUGCCGACAAUGCUGCUUGACACAAUGCGUUACCUGAACUAUAGUGAAAGAAGACCGCAAAUUCCUACUGCGAUUUCUUGCUUUUCUACCAAGUACGAGAUUUCGCGCAUACUAUUUAAUUUGGCAAAAAUAAUUGUAUUUUUUCUGGCCUAAGAGUAUCGAGGUCACGUCUGGGCCUUCUCAGCGCCACGCAUUCCCGCACCCGAAGUGUUUUGUGAUGGUUCAUUUAUUAUUGAAGCAGCACACACAAGAAAAGAAACAUGCAAUAAAAUAGUGUAUAGUAUUAUUCAUAUUUCUAGUGCACACUGUGUAGAUCACCUAUGGCGGCGACAUGGGCCAUGGCAUGAUGCGCGAAUUUUUCGCGAGAUGCAGACCAGCGGUACCGGACAUAUAUGGCAUCCGCAUAGCUGAGAUACACAGCAUAUUUUCCUAGAGCUCAAUUAUUAAACAAAAUUCAAGAGAAUAUGCUCCGUUUGAACCAAGCCCUACGUCAAAAGAUGCGGGGCCUAUUUUUUGCGCUUUCUCUGAGACGGCUAUUCUAAUGCUGAUCAAGCCACAUCUGGUCUCCCAGGGCAGAGCUGCAUCUUGGACUAAAAUGAGGCCUGAAAACGUGUUAUAUGUAAAACUCUUACAGACAACCGUGUUUUUUUGUGCGUGCGUGUGCGUGCGUGUGUGUUUGGCCAAUAUAGCUUCAAGUGCACCGUAGGAGUUGCAUGUGAUAAUAAGUUUAUUUCACUUUGCUUGAUGUUUUCAUUCCAAAAUCAUGCAUUUAUAGAAUGAUUCAACUUCAUUGUUUGUAUCUAUAUAGGUAGAAUUAAAUGUCUGAUGCCUCUGUUCA